rnacentral:rRNA from 1 species
AGUGAACGCUGGCGGUAUGCCUAACACAUGCAAGUCGAACGGCAGCACAGUAAGAGCUUGCUCUUACGGGUGGCGAGUGGCGGACGGGUGAGGAAUACAUCGGAAUCUACUUUUUCGUGGGGGAUAACGAAGGGAAACUUACGCUAAUAUCGCAUACGACCUACGGGUGAAAGCAGGGGAUCUUCGGACCUGGCGCGAUUGAAUGAGCCGUUGUCGGGUUAGCUGGUUGGGGGGGUAAAGGCCCACCAAGGCGUAGAUCCGUAGCAGGGCUGAGAGGGGGAGCCGGCCCAAGUGGAUGUAGGGACGGGUCCGGAUCCUAAGGGGGGGCAGAGUGGGGGAGUAUGGAACAGUGGGGGAAAGCGUACACAGGCAUACCGCGUGGGUGAAGAAGGCCUUCGGGUUGUAAAGCCCUUUUGUUGGGAAAGAAAAGCAGCAGGUUAAUACCCCGCUGUUCUGACGGUACCCAAAGAAUAAGCACCGGCUAACUUCGUG